rnacentral:rRNA from 1 species
AGUGAACGCUGGCGGCGUGCCUAAUACAUGCAAGUCGAACGGAGUGCCGCACGGGGGAGUAAUUUAUAGCUAAUCUGCCCUACACUAGAGAACAAAAGUUGGAAACGGCUGCUAAUACUCUAAAGUGUAGGAUGAGGCUAUAUUGUAUCAGCUAGUUGGUGAGGUAAUGGCUCACCAAGGCUAUGACGCAUAACUGGUCUGAGAGGAUGAUCAGUCACACUGGAACUGAGACACGGUCCAGACUCCUACGGGAGGCAGCAGUAGGGAAUAAUGCUCAAUGGGGGAAACCCUGAAGCAGCAACGCCGCGUGGAGGAUGACACUUUUCGGAGCGUAAACUCCUUUUGUUAGGGAAGCGGUACCUAACGAAUAAGCACCGGCUAACUCCGUGCCAGCAGCCGCGGUAAUAC